UAUCCCGAGUGCAGCGUUACUCGGAUUACUGGGCGUAAGCUCGUGCGUAGGUGGUCGUUUAAGUCCGUUGUGAAAGCCCUGGGCUCAACCUGGGAACUGCAGUGGAUACUGGGCGACUAGAGUGUGGUAGAGGGUAGCGGAAUUCCUGGUGUAGCAGUGAAAUGCGUAGAGAUCAGGAGGAACAUCCAUGGCGAAGGCAGCUACCUGGACCAACACUGACACUGAGGCACGAAAGCGUGGGGAGCAAACAGGAUUAGAUACCCUGGUAGUCCACGCCCUAAACGAUGCGAACUGGAUGUUGGGUGCAAUUUGGCACGCAGUAUCGAAGCUAACGCGUUAAGUUCGCCGCCUGGGGAGUACGGUCGCAAGACUGAAACUCAAAGGGAAUUGACGG
rnacentral:rRNA from 1 species